GACUUCUGCCGAAGUCGUUGCCUCUCCUUGUUCGGGCGGUGCUCGGCGUUCGACGUCACCGGUCUUCUAGCCAUCAUUGAUCCUUUUUUCAUUUUCCAUUGGUUUUGUCUUGUCUUCCCACACACCUGUUUUCAAUCCCAUUCAUUACCUGUUGUGUAUUUAACCCUCUGUUUCCCCUCAUGUCUUUGUCAGAGAUUGAUUUGUUGUCAGUGUAGUGUUAUUGUUUGUAUAGGUGCGCGUCGGGUCUUCGUACCCAUGUUUUGUUUGUUUGUACAUUUAUUGUUAUGGAGCAUACUUGUGGAACUUUAUUAAAAGACUCCAUAUUUACACUC